rnacentral:rRNA from 1 species
UACGUAGGGGGCAAGCGUUGUCCGGAUUUAUUGGGCGUAAAGAGCGUGUAGGCGGCCAGGUAGGUCCGUUGUGAAAACUCGAGGCUCAACCUCGAGACGUCGGCGGAAACCCUCUGGCUAGAGUCCGGAAGAGGAGAGUGGAAUUCCUGGGUGUAGCGGUGAAAUGCGCAGAUAUCAGGAGGAACACCGGUGGCGAAGGCGGAUCUCUGGGCCUUACCUGACGCUCAGGCGCGAAAGCUAGGGGAGCGAACAGG